ACGAACGCUGGCGGCGUGCCUAAUACAUGCAAGUCGAACGGUCUUUCUAUGGAAGCUUGCGUUCCACUGAGAAGAUCGUGGCGGACGGGUGAGUAACACGUGGGUAACCUGCCCAUAAGAGGGGGAUAACAUCCGGAAACGGGUGCUAAUACCGCAUAGUUUUCUUGAUCGCAUGAUUGAGAAAGGAAAGACGGCCUUUGUGCUGUCGCUUAUGGAUGGACCCGCGGCGUAUUAGUUAGUUGGUGAGGUAACGGCUCACCAAGACGAUGAUACGUAGCCGACCUGAGAGGGUGAUCGGCCACAUUGGGACUGAGACACGGCCCAAACUCCUACGGGAGGCAGCAGUAGGGAAUCUUCCGCAAUGGACGAAAGUCUGACGGAGCAACGCCGCGUGAGUGAAGGUAAAGGGUUUUCGGAUCGUAAAACUCUGUUGUCAGAGAAGAACAAGUCGGAGAGUAACUGCUCCGGCCUUGACGGUAUCUGACCAGAAGCCACGGCUAACUACGUGCCAGCCGCUGC
rnacentral:rRNA from 1 species